rnacentral:rRNA from 1 species
CGUAGGAGUAUGGGCCGUGUCUCAGUCCCAGUGUGGCCGAUCACCCUCUCAGGUCGGCUACGCAUCGUCGCCUUGGUGAGCCGUUACCUCACCAACUAGCUAAUGCGCCGCGGGCCCAUCUGUAAGUGACAGCUUACGCCGUCUUUCAGCUUUCCCUCAUGAGAGGGAAAGAAUUAUCCGGUAUUAGCUCCGGUUUCCCGAAGUUAUCCCAGUCUUACAGGCAGGUUGCCCACGUGUUACUCACCCGUCCGCCGCUAACCUUCAGGAGCAAGCUCCUAAAGAUUCGCUCGACUUGCAUGUAUUAGGCACGCCGCCAGCGUUCGUCCUGAGCCAGGAUCAAACUCUAAUCUAGAUGCAUCGCGAGUUAGA